CCUUUAGUUACGGCGAGUGAGCGGUAAAAGCUCAAAUUUGAAAUCUGGUACUUUCAGUGCCCGAGUUGUAAUUUGUAGAAUUUGUCUUUGAUUAGGUCCUUGUCUAUGUUCCUUGGAACAGGACGUCAUAGAGGGUGAGAAUCCCGUUUGGCGAGGAUACCUUUUCUCUGUAAGACUUUUUCGAAGAGUCGAGUUGUUUGGGAAUGCAGCUCAAAGUGGGUGGUAAAUUCCAUCUAAAGCUAAAUAUUGGCGAGAGACCGAUAGCGAACAAGUACAGUGAUGGAAAGAUGAAAAGAACUUUGAAAAGAGAGUGAAAAAGUACGUGAAAUUGUUGAAAGGGAAGGGCAUUUGAUCAGACAUGGUGUUUUUUGCAUGCACUCGCCUCUCGUGGGCUUGGGCCUCUCAAAAAUUUCACUGGGCCAACAUCAAUUCUGGCAGCAGGAUAAAUCAUUAAGAAUGUAGCUACUUCGGUAGUGUUAUAGCUUUUUGGAAUACUGUUAGCCGGGAUUGAGGACUGCGCUUCGGCAAGGAUGUUGGCAUAAUGGUUAAAUGCCGCCCGUCUUGAACCACGGAACC
rnacentral:rRNA from 1 species